rnacentral:lncRNA from 1 species
CCCAUGCAGGAGCCCAGUGUCAGACUGAGCCUGUGCCGCAGUGUGGGCAUGAUGGCACAGGCAGUGCGCAGCGCCAGUCCCUCCGGAGCUCCCAGCUUCCCUGCCAAGGCCGAGCUCCUGGCGACAAUGAUGGUGUUUUUUAAAAAGCAGCCCAGUGAUCCCCUGAGCAGAGCUGUCUGUCUGCUGGCCCUGCACGCCUGUUCCACACUGAGGUAUUGUUUCCUGAUGAAACUGCUUUCACUGCUUCCAUUUCUUCAGAUUUACAUUUUUAAGGGUGCUUGAGGCAGAUGGGCAUUGUGUUUGAUGCAAUAAGUGCCAUUUCCUAACAUCAAUAUGUGGUGCAUCAACUGCAGUACUCCUAC